rnacentral:rRNA from 1 species
CAGCCGCCGCGGGAAAACAGAGGGUGCAAGCGUUAAUCGGAAUUGCUGGGCGUAAAGCGCGCGUAGGUGGUUCGCCAAGUUGGAUGUGAAAUCCCCGGGCUCAACCUGGGAACUGCAUCCAAAACUGGCGAGCUAGAGUAUGGUAGAGGGUGGUGGAAUUUCCUGUGUAGCGGUGAAAUGCGUAGAUAUAGGAAGGAACAUCAGUGGCGAAGGCGACCACCUGGACUGAUACUGACACUGAGGUGCGAAAGCGUGGGGAGCAAACAGGAUUAGAUACCCCCGUAGUCCCUGUCUCUUAUAC